rnacentral:lncRNA from 1 species
GGGCAGCACAAGGACAUCUGCCAUUGCCCUGCAAUGCAAGGUUUAUAGAGAAUUCAGAACUGCCAUAGACUCAGAUAUAAAAAGAGUGAAAGACUUUUUAGCUGACCUCCAAGAAUACCUAACCUCCCUCUCAGAGGUAGUCCUUCAGAAUAGGAGAAGAUUAGACCUGAUAUUCCUUAAAGAAGGAACCUGUGUGCUACACUGAAAGAAUGUUGUUUCUAUGCAGACCAUACAGGAUUAGUGAGAGAUAACAUGGCUAAGCUCCGAGAACGCUUGGCCCAGAGACAGAAGCUGUUUGAUUCCCAACAAGGCUGGUUCGAGGGGUGGUUUAACCGAUCCCCUUGGUUUGCUACCCUGGUGUCCACCUUGAUGGGACCCUUAAUCAUCCUCCUCCUAAUCUUCCUCUUUGGCCCCUGCAUUCUAAACAGAUUGAUGCAGUUCAUAAAGAACAGACUCUCAGUCAUUCAGACGCUUGUUCUCACCCAACAAUACCGGAGGGUAAGACAACAGGAAGAGAUUCCUUAGAAUUCGAUUUGAGUAAAGGAUUUUACUCAAGUCUAAAAGAAAAUGGGGGGAAAUGAAAGACCCACCCCAUGAGUCUUAACUCAGAGUUGCAACAGGCUUGAACGAGCCCAGGCACGCCCAGAUACCUAGGGCCGAGUCACCGUGAAAACUAACAGACCAUAAAAGGAAAGGAAUGCAGAACAGACCAGGAGUACCACUCACAGGCCACCUGGCAGGAAGAGAUAAGCCCCUAGCCCCCGACAUCCAGGACGCCCCAAACCUGCCAAUGUGUGUAGCUAUACCUUAUUACCUCAUCAUGUGAAAUAGCCAAUCAUAUGUGAACAUGUCUAUGUGCCUCGUUUGAAUCCACCAAUCCCCGUAACUAUGCAUCUGCUUCUGUACGCCCGCUUCUGCUUCCCCAAUCCCUAUAAAAGCCCCAUGCUGGAGCUGCUGGGCGCGCAAGUCCUCCGAAGAGACUGUGUGCCCGCAGGUACCUGUGUUUUCCAAUAAACCCUCUUGCUGAUUGCAAAAAAAAAAAAAAAAAA